GACAGAGGGUGCAAACGUUGUUCGGAAUCACUGGGCGUAAAGCGCACGUAGGCGGCUUGUUAAGUCAGGGGUGAAAUCCUGGAGCUCAACUCCAGAACUGCCUUUGAUACUGGCGAGCUUGAGUUCGGGAGAGGUGAGUGGAACUGCGAGUGUAGAGGUGAAAUUCGUAGAUAUUCGCAAGAACACCAGUGGCGAAGGCGGCUCACUGGCCCGAUACUGACGCUGAGGUGCGAAAGCGUGGGGAGCAAACAGG
rnacentral:rRNA from 1 species